UUAAUUGCAUAUGGUGUACUGUCUGUUAUUUGGUGGGGUGGGGCACAUCACACAGCAUCCACACAAACUUGAUUACCCAGUUUGGCGGGGCCAAAGGCUGCUCCCCCUUGACAAAAGCGAGCUGAGCGAGCCUGAGGCUUACCAGGGGGCUACACCUGUCCAUACCCCUGAUAAUUUUGUGCAUCUCUAUCAAAUCUCCCCUCAAUCUUCUAAAUUCCAGGGAUUAAAUUUCGAAUCUAUUCAAUUAAAGUGUGGAUUGGGACAAGGUGUUUUCUGGCAAAGGUGUACUUGGUAAAUGGGAGGCCUUCAGAAGUGAAAUUUUGAGAGUACGAGUUUGUAUAUUCCUGUCAGGAAAUAUUGAGACUGUGGUUAUGAAAAAGGAGGAGGUGGACAGCAAGUAAAGGCAGGUCGGAACAAAUGAAGUACUUGAGGAGUAGAAGAAAUGCAAGAGAACUCUUAAGGAGGAAAUCAGGAGGGAUAAAAGAAGAUGUGAGGUUGCUCUAGCAGACAAGGUGAAAGAGAAUCCUAAGGUGGUGCCAGCAAACAAUGAUUCCUCAGGUGAAUUUUCUAGAUCACCAAUCUCCAAUUAUUUCACUCUUUCUUUACCUUCUGCUUGUUCUUUUAGUCUGUUUGUGUUUCAGAGACUGUUGGAGGCUGUGACGUGCAGUUUGGAGUUUGAUCGAGUGACCUGACACUCUGCUAUCCCCAGAAAGGACCGAGAGCAAGAGCACGAGCUGCCUCGCGGAGAAGACCAGAGUCGGGGCACGGGGCCCUGAUUGACUCCAUUUCAAAGCGUCGAGGAAGGAUGAAGUAUCAACACGAAUGCGGAGGAGGUCAGUGGUCGCUUUCCACGGGGGCCACGGGCCGAUGGUAGUUUGUAGCCAGGUCGGCCGCUAUCGGAAGGCCACAGGCCAGCGGGACAGACGGCGGUCACUCCUUGAGGAAGGACUGAGUUCAGUAGCUGCUCUCCUUGGUUCUGACGAGCUGCCUUUGUCUGCCUGCUGGUAUCGAUGGUAUGCACUGGAGUUAAGGGGUGGAUAUCGAAGAAUGGAAUUCCAUUUGCUGCUUCUGAGAUAAUGAAAGAACAAACAUCUGCAAUCAUCAAGACUUUAAAUCAAGGCAUGAAUAGUAAAUGCCAAAAAGCUUUUUGGGAAAUCUGAAGUAUUAAAUUAUAAGGAUAAUUAACCCUCAGGCUUAGAUGAUUAAACCUUAGAAAGCAGAAGUAUUGAAAAUUAGAAAAUCAGUGUACAUUACAGAUACAGAGAAGUGAUUUUCCUAAUAAGAAAAUAUAGAAAAUGGGCAAGUCUUCUAAAAAUAAUGAAAGUUAGCUAUUAUAAAUGAAGUUAUGAAACACUUUCUUAACCCAGAUAAAAGUAGAAAUGUACACUUCACUUCCUUGGGUCAACUUAAUGUUGAGGCUGAGAUUGUUUAAAUCAGGCAAAAUAUUAAGAUGAGUGGAUUAGUGGAGUGGAGGAGACAUUAACUGAAUGGCAGAAAAGCUUCAACGCACUGAAAGGCCUACUCUGAAUCUCAGGGUUGUAUAUGGUGGCAUGCAUGUACUUUGGUUUAAAAAAAAACACACACUUUGAACUUGAACUGAGGUAAACAUAAAAGUAACAAGAAAUUAUUCCAAACAAAGCAAAUCUACCCUCUUGGCAAACUACAUUACUGCUUCUUCGGAGAGUUGAAAUGAACUGGAAAUUGGUGCAGUUCACGUAUUCAACACAAUGGUUCACAUGACUCCCAAAGACUGAAAACCUCAAGUAUGACUGAAUAGGCUCCAUUUUUCUGAAUGGGGAGCAAAAGAGGGAAAUACAUUCAAAGAACAAAAAUAUUUCAAUCCUCCUUGAUUAUUGCAUUAAAUAUGUGAACCACAGAGUAAAAACAGAUGGGAGAAAUAUUAAUCAAGGGUCUGAAAAUAAAAAUGAUGUAAAAUGUAAUGUACACCCUUGCAGAGCAAUGAAAUAAAAAAACAAGAAGAAUAUUUAAAGAUGUGGCCAGAAUGCCAGAAUAACAAACUGUACUUCUUCAGAAAACUUGAACAAAUUCUCGUGAGAAUCAUGAGAUGUAAAAACAUUGAGGGUAUGGAGUUGCAUAGAACAAGGGAUAUCAUAAGGAAAUAGGAAGUGAAAGAGGAUUUAGUACAUUAAAGUAAUUUAAUGGAAGACAAGAUAAACAAUAAGGAAAAGGGAGAAAGGUUUUCUGAGAGGAUUCCACAAAUACCAACAUGAUGCUGAGAUACGUUCUAGGAUGCACUGAGACACAUCAUCAUUGAUGUAACCUGGGGUCAUGGGUGUUUUGGUCAUUCAAUAUCAAACAGCUUUACCUAGGCGACCCAGCCAGAGUUGACCAGUCCCUCACUUGUGCCCCAGCAGCAUCGGUCCACAGCUGACCCCUCUUAAUCCAUAGCCAUCUGAGGUUCUGUGAUCAUCCUGGUGGCUCUUCUUUUUGCAGCCCCCCCCCCCCCCAUAAUGCAACGUGGGAACCUGAAAUGGUUUCUUUGCUAGCAAAACACAUGAGGUCCACAAAGGGCAGCAGAAGACAGAAAGAGCACCAUCAACUCAGAAUUUUGGAGCUUGCUAAGCUAGGGCAUAUUUAGACCAACUUAACCAUGUCCAUUUUAAAUCAUUGAAAAUGGCAGUACACCAGCAACUUCAAAGUCAACUUGGGACAUGAAACGGUUUCUUUGGCAGCAAAAUACACCAGGUCCACAACACGGCAGCAGAAAGGCUGAAAGAGCACCAUCAACUCAGAAUUUUGCAGUCUGCUAAGCUAGGGCAUUUUGGGGCCAUUUUCACCACUCCCAUUUUCAAUGAUUGAAGACGGCAGUAUGCCACCAACUUCAAGGUCAACCUGGAGUGAGUAACAAAUACUAAUCAGCAACGGGAUCUUCCAAAAAAAAACAGAAAAAAAAAUCCCAGACACAGCCAUGCCUCACUUGAUUCAGCUGACCCACCUCUCAUCCUUUCAAGAGUUCUUAAAGAGUAACUGAUGCUGAAACACUCAGUACACCUAGGAUGAGUGGUCUGUUGAAUCCUCUCCUGUCUUUAAUUCUUAUCAGUUUAACUUCUUUCUCUAGCUUGUAAAAGGCCAACACUCUGGAUGCCCUUCACAAAGCAGAGCAGGGAAUUCCAAAUUAAAUGACUGAGUCUUGGCUUUUUCUCUCCAAAAAAAAAAAAAUCCUGUUCCACCUGACUCCUACAGAACUUACUGCAGAAAACCAAACAAAUUGACUGAAAAAUCCAUCUUUGUGCAUCUAACAUUAAGUAGUUCUGUAGUAGGUUAUCCCAGUAACAUAAUCACACUUCUCAACACUGUAAUGUGUUGGAGUCUUAUUAAACAACAUUCAAAGGAAAAGCCAUUUCAGAUAGUUUUACAUACAACCAACUCAUGAUUGUCCAACCCAGUAUUUGGUGUCCUGCUUCAUUCCUCCUUCCAGUCCAGAAUAAUCUAGCAAACUUCACAGAGAGUACCAUAUUACGGUAUUCGUUCAUUUGGCCUGGUUAUUAUCCAGCUCGCAUUAGUUGUAAUUAAAUAUCAGUGUUCUUUUCCAAUAAUGUACCACAGUCAAGGUGCAAGGUCAAAUCAGAAAACUGAAGAUACAGACACAAUAUGUAAUAUGUCACAUGCAGAUGCAAUUCUUAGAGCUUAUGGUCAUAUUGCCACAUUGUUUAACUA